rnacentral:rRNA from 1 species
ACGCCUAACACAUGCAAGUCGAGCGAGAACUUCGGUUCUAGCGGCGGACGGGUGAGUAACACGUGAGCAACCUGCCUUUCAGAGGGGGACAACAGUUGGAAACGACUGCUAAUACCGCAUAAUGUCAUUUGGCGGCAUCGUUGAAUGACCAAAGGAGCAAUCCGCUGAAAGAUGGGCUCGCGUCCAAUUAGAUAGUUGGUGGGGUAACGGCCUACCAAGUCGACGAUUGGUAGCCGGACUGAGAGGUUGAACGGCCACAUUGGGACUGAGAUACGGCCCAGACUCCUACGGGAGGCAGCAGUGGGGGAUAUUGCACAAUGGAGGAAACUCUGAUGCAGCGAUGCCGCGUGAGGGAAGAAGGUUUUCGGAUUGUAAACCUCUGUGGAGCGGGACGAUAAUGACGGUACCGCUCAAGGAAGCCACGGCUAACUACGAGCCAGCAGCCGCGGUAAUACGGGGGAUACGAGCGUUAUCCGGAUUUAUUGGGUUUAAAGGGUGCGCAGGCGGAUCGGUAAGUCAAGGGUGAAAAGUCCGGGCUCAACUUGGACCGUGCCUUUGAUACUGCCGGACUAGAGAGCGAUAGGCGUGGCUGGAAUGUGACGUGUAGCGGUGAAAUGCUUAGAUAUGUCACAGAACACCGAUCGAGAAGUCAGGUCACGAGUUCGCAACUGACGCUCAUGCACGAAAGCGUGGGGAUCAAACAGGAUUAGAUGCCCUGGUAGUCCACGCUGUAAACGAUGAUCACUCGUUGUUGGGCGGCGACGUUCAGCGGCCAAGCGAAAGCGAUAAGUGAUCCACCUGGGGAGUACGAUCGCAAGGUUGAAACUCAAAGGAAUUGACGGGGGCCCGCACAAGCGGAGGAGCAUGUGGUUUAAUUCGAUGAUACGCGAGGAACCUUACCCGGGCUUGAACGUAAGACGAAUGCCGAGGAAACCCGGCAGCCUACGGGCGUCUUGCGAGGUGCUGCAUGGUUGUCGUCAGCUCGUGCCGUGAGGUGUUAGGUUAAGUCCCGCAACGAGCGCAACCCCUAUUGUUAGUUGCUACGCAAGAGCACUCUAGCGAGACUGCCGUUGACAAAACGGAGGAAGGUGGGGACGACGUCAAAUCAUCAUGCCCCUUAUAUCCUGGGCUACACACGUAAUACAAUGGCGGUCAACAGAGGGAUGCAAAGCCGCGAGGCAGAGCGAACCCCUAAAAGCCGUCCCAGUUCGGAUCGUGGGCUGCAACCCGCCCACGUGAAGUCGGAAUCGCUAGUAAUCGCGGAUCAGCAUGCCGCGGUGAAUACGUUCCCGGGCCUU